rnacentral:misc_RNA from 1 species
UGAGUAGGUCACACUUGAAAGCCGUCGAACCUAUAUUCAUUGCUUAGCAGCUUAAUCCUCACGGGUGGAGCUCGGCGUGAUUGGGGACGAUAGGGUGGUAGAUCAGCAAUGAUCAAUCUCCUUGCCAGACUUGUUCCGCCCUCGGGUGUUGACAACAAGCACUGCAGAAAAUUGUGGAUCUACUUGCCGAUGGCCAGACCUAAGCAGCAGAAACACAUUCGAAGAUACGCAAUCAUCAGGUGCCACCUCCAUGGCUGCCGGUGAUGUGCAGUCUUCUCCAAGGAUUGUGAUUUCAGUCUCCACGGUAACGCUGUGAAAACGCGACCAUGCCAGACCGGAAGAGCAUAUCCAGAGCACAUAAGACCGGCGAACAAGGAAGCUUUGUACUUGUCCUCUGCGAUGCCUCACGGCGCAGCGGAUGAUGAGUCUUUGCCUUAUUGCAAUCUUGCGUAACAAACACAGUGGCGCGCAGCCUAGACGUAACAGUCUUGGCCGCCGCCUAUGGCUGGAGGAGCCCGCUUCUUCUGCCGCUUAGUGAUAGUUACCUGGUUGAUUCUGCCAGU